CCCCAGCCCUCGGCGCCGGGGACUGAGGGCUGUCGCUGCCCUUCCGUGCGGCUCGGCUCGGCUUCUGCAGUACCUCGGUCCGCAGGGAGCAGAGGAGGCGGAGGAGCAGACCCUCAGCCGCGGGGCGGGACGAGCCGAUGGCGGAUAAGGUGCAGGGCGCCUGGAGCGAGGAUGUAGUGGAUCAUUUUCUGAGGUCGCAGAGCAUCAGAGCGAGAGAUGGGGCGGCCAUCAGAUGGUUUCACGCCGCGAACAGCAAGGACCGAGCCGGGGAGGCGGCGAGAAGUGAUGUUCACAUGAUAGAAGCAGAUGUUCUUCUUCGUGGUGGCAAGGGAGGAAAUGAAGACCCUAUCAUGGCUCAUCCACCUGAAACAGACAGUGACAACACAUUGCAGGAAUGGCUAGAAGAGAUUGUCGGCACAAAUAAAGGCAUCAAGCUAGAUUUUAAAAGUCUCGAAGCUGUACAGCCUUCCUUGGAGCUUCUUGAAAACGUGAAGCAUCGUUUGAAGCGGCCUGUUUGGAUCAAUGCAGACAUCCUGCCGGGACCUAAUGGAAACAGUACUGUAGUGGAUGCAGAGGGGUUCAUCAGCACCGUCACUUCCUUUUUCCCAAGUGUCACUUUAUCACUGGGAUGGACAACUGGCUGGCACCCUGACAAACACAAUAAAGGUUAUGAUUGGAUGAUGGUGAAAGAAAUGGCACAGAUAUGCAACACGCUUUCGCAGCCAGUAACUUUCCCUGUAAGAGCAGCAUUAGUAUGGCAGUCAAUGCCUGAGCUGUGCUGGUUAGUGCAGCAGUCAGAUAGAUACAGCCUCACCAUUUGGACAGGAAAGGAAGAUGCCUAUUCUGUGGAAGAUUUGCUUUACCUCCGGAAAAACAUUGAUAAAAGCAGAGUUUAUUAUGACAUCUUAGAGCCACAAAAUUCUGAGUUCAAAAAAGCCAUAGGAAUAGAAUAUUAAAUAUAAAGCAGGCAAUCUCUGACAUCAUAGUACUUAGCCUCUUUAAACAUGAAGUUUUCUUGUUUGUGGAAGUACAUUUUCUUUCCCAAAAGAAUUGUGUAGAACGCAGCUGUGGUUAAUGGAGGAGUUUUUGAAUAACACUUUAUUGAAAGGUUUCUCAAGUAGAAAUUUAGUGCCUUCUUUAAUACAUCAGAAUUGUUACUUACUCAUCAUAUGCAUCUUCCCUCUUUCACCUGAUGGCAUAUAGUAAAGCCUACUCAUGUCACCUUAGUAUAGCAGUACUUCUUCCCUGCAAGCAUACAAUUGGGCAAAUAGCUUCCACUCAUAGUUGCAGACCAAGAUAGUUUACUGUUAACUGCUUUUGUGCAAGACAAAGUCUAUGGGACACUCAAAUCUCUACCAAAGCCCGGUUUUACUUUUUGUGGGGGAAGACAAGAGUCGGGACUGUAUUAAGCACAGAACUAUGUAGUUCCCAAAGAGGUUAUUUUGUAGCUAAUCUUGGUACACUUCAUUUUUAGUGCCAUUGUGAUCGGUAUUAUUCUCACUGCUAGUCAAUAGAGAGUUGUGUUUGCCAGAUCUGAAGAGUUGGAUCUGUGAAAGAAUGGUUAUUUCUACUGAAUUACAGCUAAUCGGGUUGUCUGCAAUGUGGCAAUUGUGCAUUGCACACCAUGGCUUGCCUGCAUGUAGUCUGAUGAUCAGCAACAUAGUCCUUGUAUUGUGAGAAGGCUGAAUUGGGCUGCAAGAGAUGCUGGUGCAAACAGAACCCCAAAAUGAAGAAUUGUCCUGUCUUGUACAUAGAGCACAAAUAAUGAUUACAGUGAGGUACACAUCAGAGGCAGCAUCAAAGGAGCUAUAGUGUUUUAUAAGAGAGAAGUGCUGGUGUUUCUUUCAAGGGUUUGAAACUAAAGUAUAAUAGAAAUUACAGAAAGUAUUCUGCUGUAGUCUUUCUGAAAGGCAGAGGCUCUAAGGAUGAAAUAGCUAUACAAUGAUUAGUGCUUACAGCAAAAAAUCUGUUUCUGUGAUAGCACAGUUUUUUCGACCUCUUGUUUGUGCAUCUUUUUAACUCACCGAAUACAAUUUCACAAGUUUACAAAAGUGGAGCUUCCCUUUGAGAACAAAUGAAGUCAUUGCGAUCACCUGCAGGAAGAGUCUGACAUUUCAUUUUAAGCACUUCUUCCUUGUUUAACUUCUUCAUCCCUUAAAAUUAAUACAGGUACUGAAAUCUGCCGGUUGAGAUGUGUACAAGCUGUAUGUUGUUGUCUUCUGCCAAAUAUUACAAAGUGGGAUUUUUUUUUCGCAAUGUCAAGAGAAGAUUCUGAUUUCUCAGUGAAGGCUGAGUCUAUCAAGAGCCAUUACGCUGUCAUCUUCUUACCCUCCUUUUCCCAUUCUCACAUUCUUCCGACAGGAGUUGUGUUGACUUUGAUGUUUAACCUAACAGUGGCUGGACAGGCUGUUAGUACUAAGGAGUUAAUUACAGCAAUUUCUGAUUCCUGCAUAGCAUUGUUGCAACUGUGAUAGAAGAGUUAGUUGGACUUAUUAAUCUGAAGUCUUGAAAUACUUCAUACUGUCAUUAAAAUUCAAGAUUCUUGGUUGUUGCCUACACCUUUUGACCAGGUUUAUUUAAUAAUUCUUGAGGGGUAGAGAUUUCAUCAUUUUUAUAUUAGGAUACAAUACAUUUGAAUAAAAUUAGGAAGUCUUUUUCCAAAUAAAGAAAAAAAAAUCUAGUUGUACUUGGAAUAGUUAAACAAUAGCUUAUCUAAUUUAUGCAGUUGGUGCGAAUGGUGGUAACCAGCAAAAGGUCAAGUUCAGCAGUGUGGUUCCUUUUAGUAAACUGGAAGAAAAUUGUUUAGUUUAUGAUGACAUGAUCUGUUUUGAACAGAUUUAGCCUCUUGAGUUCUUUGUUAUGUCUCUCUCUUUGAUCUUUGUUUGUAUGCUUUGCUGUACCAUGGGAGGAGGAGAGAUUAACUAUUUCCUAACAGGUCAUGAGAAUGGAAAGUAUUGCAAAUACCUAAAGACCUGGAUCAUUUUGACUGAAACGUGUUCAGGAGCUGUUGCAGGAACCUUAUCACAGAGUUUCAUUUUAUGGAUAAUCACCCAUUCACCUGACUCUCCUUCAGGGAGAGCAGCAUUUACAAGUGACCAGAGCUUAUAGACAUUGAUUGAGUCUACAGUACAUACAAUAAAUGAGUAGAAAAUGGUGUAGUUCUGAGUUGUUGGUUUUUUUCUGGAAUAUACCAUUGAAACAGAAGAACUUGGGAACGUCAGCCAGCUUUUGGAAUUAAAUGCAAUAUAGCUGCAGUAGCCAUAAUGGGGCAGGAAGGUGUCUAAGUAACAAAAAUUGCUUUUGAAGGAUAUAAAGAAAUUUGCUUGAGGACAUGUUGCUGUAGUCGUGUCCAGUUAUAGAAUGAAGGGCACCAUUAAAGAGCAUAAGUGGUUUUUCUUUAUUGAUGAUUUUACUAAUUCCAGACUUAAUCUAGAUCUCUUUUCAAGAUAGUGCUAGUCAUUCAGAAGCAGCAAUACUUUCUACCCAUACAUUUAUGUCUUACAGAUUUAAAGUUGAUUUUUUUUCAUGAUAUUUUUGUUCCACAGUUCUGUUCCACAGUUUAUAUAAACAUUUAGGUCUGGCAUGGACUCCUUGGUGUUGUGUCAGCAGCUUGCUGCAGGCAGUUAACAUUUAUUGAGUUAAGAGAUUUUGUCUUUCAGUUAGUUAGACCUUUCUGCAUCCACACUGGCAAAUUGUUCUGUUAUUUAGAAACCCUUUUCUCACUUACCGGUUCCCACUUGAAGUAUUAUAAUUUGUUAAAACUGGUUAAAUUAUUAAGUGAAAACUAUCAGCAGUUACCGGGAGUCCUUCUAACGGUGCAGACAUCAUGGAAGAAGUGUUACUGAGUAAUAUAUGUGCAGAUGAAUAAACAUGGAAAGAAGUAUAUGAAUUACCAAGAAAGUAAAGGUAACCAGACAUGUAAAACUAGAUUAAACAAAGUGUUAGAAGUGAAUGUAAUGUUGCAUUUUUGGAGGGACAAAAGGGUUGAACUAUAUGGUGAAUUUGAUUCUGUAUACAUUAUCCAAUAUAUCUGAAUUUCUAUAUGUUUUUUUUUUUUUUUCCCAUGGAUCUCUGGUACUUCCAUGUAAGGUCUUUAUGUGGUUUGUAUCAGUCUGAUCUGACUCGCGUAGCAGUAAAGUUGUGUGAAUUUUUCUCAGUUUUCAUACCAGUCUUUAUACAAAUGUUCUCAUUUGGAAGUAUGACAAUGUAGCUGUGGGGCUGGCAGUAAGGUAAGGUAAAGUGAGAUAAAAGACAGUUAUUUACUCUGUUGGAAACAGGGAUCUGUGGCAGAUCUGCAUUACUCUAGCUAUUCCUGUCGGGUUUUUUUUUUUCUUUAGCUUCUGUCAGGGAGUCUACUUCUUGUGCUGAAAACUUUGUCCAGGUUCCAUAAACUCUGCCACCUCUUUGUGGAAUUGUUUUCAACAUCAUGUCUGUUGAUCUCUUUCAGACAGAUUUUUAGACUUAAUUAUCCUUAUUACAAGAAAAAUCUGAUUGCCUUUAGUAGAAUUAGGUCUUGUUCUGGAGUCCUGUGUCCAGUUCUGGUCUCCCCAGCUCAAGAGGGACAGGGAACUUCUGGAGAGAGUCCAGUGCAGGGCCACCAAGAUGAUCAGGUGACUGGAAGGUCUUUCAUGUGAGGAAAGACUGCGGGAACUGGGGCUGUUUAGUCUAGACAAGAGGAAACUGAGGAGGGAUCUUAUUAAUAUUUACAAAUAUCUUAAAUGGUGGAUGUCAGGAGGUUGAGGCAGCCAUUCUUUCUGUUGUAUCCAGUGACAGGACAAGAAGAAGGAAACUGGAACACAAAAAGUUCCAUUUAAACAUAAAGAAAAGCUUACUUACUGUUCAGUCAAUAAAUGGAGCCGUGGCACAGGCUGUCCAGGAAGGGUGUGAGUCUCCAUCUCUGGGGGUUUCUAAAACCCGCCUUGAUGCAUUCCAGUGUGAUCUGAUCUGGGUGGACCUGCUUUGGCAGGGAAGUUGGACUAGAUGAUAUUUAGAGGUCUCUCUAGCCCCCACGAUUCUGCCUGAUAGCUGGUGCAGUCCUUUUUUUCUGAUUUAGUGUGAUACAGUGCUGAUAACACGCGAAUUCAGGCUUAUCCUAGGUGAAGGACUCUAGUUUCCCGUGUUCUGCUGGCACACAGGUGCACAAGAAGCUGGGAGGGAGUAUGGCCAGGACAGCUGAUGCAGACCCUGUACUAUUCUCUGAUUCUGUGUGAUUGUUCAAGACGUCCAGAAGCACUCCUGGACCUGGUUGGUUGGAGAUGAAGGCCCCCCUGUGAAUAUGGGAUUACCUGAUAUCACGGACUGUCUCUCUACUGGUUACUUUGUGCCAGAAGCAAUCUGGUCAAAGCCCACCAGGAAAAACAUUUUCUUUUUUAUUGAUACUUGACAUCUCCCACCACCAAAUGAACCUUACAGCAAGUAAAGUCCCUUUUCCUGGGAUUUUCUUGCAUGGCAGCUGCCUGGGACAUCUGAUGGUGCCUGUGCAGUAUCCUCAAGCACACCUGGGACAUCCCACUGAUACCCCUCCUGCUCCAAGGAUAAUUUCUUGGAAUGCUGAUUCCCACAAAAGCACACGGUAACAGCUCUACAGCACACUUUGCAGAAGCUUUAGUUGCCUUUUGUCAUGCUAACUUUUCGCAGUGGGGAGGCACGGACGAUUCAAUAGCUACACUACGAUACAAUGGCUGCACGUGAGACCUGCAGCAACAGCUUCCUCUCCCUCGAAAAGAGUGUUAAUUGCGGUGAUCGCAGUGCUAUUACCGUGCAAGGUCUUGUACUCGUCUAUUUUAAAAAGCACCCGCUGACUCAAAGUAUAUCCACCGCUGUCUCAGUGACUAAUAAAAGACAACAGGUGAAUGUAGCAAACAAAAAAGUGAGGCAGCAAACAAAGAGGGGAGGUGAGGGCAGAGUAGCAGUGAAACAAUCCUUCAUGCUCGGUAUAGUCACAGCAGCAGUCACGGGGCACCAGCAUCCUUGAUGCCCCGUGAGGGGCUUUUUUAGGCAUCAAUAGGAGAGGCAAGUUUCCAGGGACAAUGUGAAGGAGAUUCGUGCCGCUAUACUUUUCAGAAGCGCAUGACAGGAUCGGUUAGAUACUGGCAUGACUAAGAGCUUGAUGAAUUGUAUGAAUAAGCCACUAAGGCAAGCAACAUCGCAAAGGCAGGUUCUUGAGUUACUGUUUAACCUUGUCUUUCGAAAACUAAGUCGGGAGAAUGUCCGCAGACGUUUGGGUUUUGGUUUUUUUUCUCUUUCUGCGGCGUGAUUCUAAUUAUCUUUGUUUCCAUUUACUCUCUACACCUCAUCCAUGUUAUUAAUACUCAGCCUUUGCCGACCAGUCUCGGAAAGGCAUGUGUAUUGAACACCCACUCUCCGGGAAGGUUACUGCUCUUCUCAGACCUGUUGUUGUGCAAAUUAUAUAAGGUACGGGGGCGGUGUAUACUUGUGUGUGGUUCAUCAAUUCUACUGCCGGAGCAUCUUCACUUCUGUGGUUUCUGCAGCUCUCAUGUACACUCUGCCUUCCGUCCUUGCCUGCGUGGUACUG